rnacentral:rRNA from 1 species
AAGGAUCAUUAUUGGAAUGAAAUAUCUAGCAAGAGGCUGUUGCUGUCUAGUAAUGUGCACGCCUUUUGUGGAAAAAUAAACCCUUAGCAGCAACUUGUUUCGAUCAAGUGACCUCAGGGUUAUGGGCCCUGCGCGCUUCCACUGCGCCAUGCUGCUGUGUGGGGACUUAUUUCUUCUCCCUGUGCACCACUUGUAGACUUUGUCUGUCUAUGAAUCACAUAACCUUUAUGAAUGUAUCUUUGUGGCCCAUUAAUAUAUAUAUACAACUUUCAACAAUGGAUCUCUUGGCUCUCGCAUCGAUGAAGAACGCAGCGAAAUGCGAUAAGUAAUGUGAAUUGCAGAAUUCAGUGAAUCAUCGAAUCUUUGAACGCAUCUUGCGCUCUUUGGUAUUCCGAAGAGCAUGCCUGUUUGAGUGUCAUUAAUCUCUCAAAACUUCAUUUUUAUGAAGUAAUUUGGAUAUUGGGAGUCAUUGCUGAUGGCUGUUGAAGCUCAGCUUUCCUUAAAUUCCUUGAGGACGAAAUGUUGGUGUGUGAUAAUAAUUGUCUAUACCAAACAAGUCCUUUUGCUAUCUUAAUGAUUGACCUCAAAUCAAGCAAGAUUACCCGCUGAACUUAA